rnacentral:rRNA from 1 species
GACGAACGCUGGCGGCGUGCCUAAUACAUGCAAGUCGAGCGAAUCGAUGGGAGCUUGCUCCCUGAGAUUAGCGGCGGACGGGUGAGUAACACGUGGGUAACCUGCCUGUAAGACUGGGAUAACUUCGGGAAACCGGAGCUAAUACCGGAUACUUUCUUUUCUCGCAUGAGGGAAGAUGGAAAGAUGGUUCUGCUAUCACUUACAGAUGGACCCGCGGCGCAUUAGCUAGUUGGUGAGGUAACGGCUCACCAAGGCGACGAUGCGUAGCCGACCUGAGAGGGUGAUCGGCCACACUGGGACUGGGACACGGCCCAGACUCCUACGGGAGGCAGCAGUAGGGAAUCUUCCGCAAUGGACGAAAGUCUGACGGAGCAACGCCGCGUGAGCGAAGAAGGCCUUCGGGUCGUAAAGCUCUGUUGUUAGGGAAGAACAAGUACGAGAGUAACUGCUCGUACCUUGAUGGUACCUAACCAGAAAGCCACGGCUAACUACGUGCCAGCAGCCGCAGUAACAC